UUCAUGAACGUGUAUUUCCAGGUCCGGUCCAGUCAGCUGGAUCGGUCCAUUAAGGGUCUGAAGGAGCAUUUCCGUAAGAACAGCGCCACCUCUGCCAUCCACUCGCCCGCCGUACAGACCAAACGCAAGGAGACGCCCACCAAGAAGCCUCCCAAAAGACCAGUCUACAUCCCAGGUAAAGUCACAGCUGUGUUUGUGACGUGUCCAUCGCUUGUUUCUGUUUGCAGAGCCAGUUAUUAUCCCAUUAUACACACACACACACACACACACAUACACACACACACAUACGCACAUAUACAUGACAGAAUAGGUUAUGAAAGGCUUAUACACAUGCAAACCAAAGUAAAAUUUGCUGACAAAAUAAAACUAUUCACACAGAGCAUGAGAUAAAUGUUUAUUUU